CAUUUGGGCAUAACAUAACGAAACGCCCAACUACAAGUUUUGAGAGGAAUCCAACGGCUGAAAACAUAAUGGGGAUCGGAGCUAUAUAAACGUCCUUGAACCCUAAAAUCGAUUAGUCAUCAAUCGUCUCCAUCGCUCGCAAACAUGUGGUCGAAGGUUUUCUCUGUCACAAAGGCCUUGCCCUGGAUUGCAAUUUCGAGUGCCUUUACUAGAACCUUAACUUUUGGAUCUACAGCCUACUUUUUUUACCGUACGGUCCCGUUGUUCGGUGAAGUCAUGAAAUCCCAAAAGGCUGCAAACGAGGCCUUUCAUCAGUGCUGGUCCAGGUCUCGAACCGAGUAACACCCUUGUGUUCUAAAUUAAUGGGUGCAAUGGUAAUGUAAUGUGAUGCGAUGCGAUGGGUGUUGGAGGAUGACUAAUACUUUGCUUGAAUAAUUUUAAGACCUUGUAAUUGAAUUAUGUAUCUAUUAUGUCUAUCUUUUGCUUACUUUUAAGGCACCUCCAGCCUUAUGGCUUUUUUAUAUGAUUGUCGCCGCAAGUCUUAUUUUG